rnacentral:rRNA from 2 species
AGCUCCAAUAGCGUAUAUUAAAGUUGUUGUGGUUAAAAAGCUCGUAGUUGGAUCUCGGCGGACUGGGAGCGGUUCGCUCGCUAGAGUGCUACUGCUCCAUAGUCCGUAGUUUUGCCAGAGGUCUCGGGGUGCUCUUAACCGAGUGUCCCGCGAUGCUGGCGGGUUUACUUUGAAAAAAUUAGAGUGCUCAAAGCAGGCUUUUACGCCUGAAUAUUCGUGCAUGGAAUAAUGGAAUAGGAAGUCGUUUCUAUUUUGUUGGUUUUCGGAAAUCGACUUAAUGAUUAAUAGGGACAGUCGGGGGCAUUUGUAUUCAAACGACAGAGGUGAAAUUCUUGGACCGUUUGAAGACAAACUACUGCGAAAGCAUUUGCCAAGAAUGUUUUCA